GACGAACGCUGGCGGCGUGCUUAACACAUGCAAGUCGAACGGAAAGGCCCUGCUUUUGUGGGGUGCUCGAGUGGCGAACGGGUGAGUAACACGUGAGUAACCUGCCCUUGACUUUGGGAUAACUUCAGGAAACUGGGGCUAAUACCGGAUAGGAGCUCCUGCUGCAUGGUGGGGGUUGGAAAGUUUCGGCGGUUGGGGAUGGACUCGCGGCUUAUCAGCUUGUUGGUGGGGUAGUGGCUUACCAAGGCUUUGACGGGUAGCCGGCCUGAGAGGGUGACCGGCCACAUUGGGACUGAGAUACGGCCCAGACUCCGACGGGAGGCAGCAGUGGGGAAUAUUGCACAAUGGGCGGAAGCCUGAUGCAGCAACGCCGCGGGCGGGAUGACGGCCUUCGGGUUGUAAACCGCUUUCGCCUGUGACGAAGCGUGAGUGACGGUAAUGGGUAAAGAAGCACCGGCUAACUAC
rnacentral:rRNA from 1 species